CCCGUCAAUUCCUUUGAGUUUUAACCUUGCGGCCGUACUCCCCAGGCGGUCGACUUAUCGCGUUAGAUGCGCCACUAAGAUCUCAAGGAUCCCAACGGCUAGUCGACAUCGUUUACGGCGUGGACUACCAGGGUAUCUAAUCCUGUUUGCUCCCCACGCUUUCGCACCUCAGUGUCAGUAUCAGUCCAGGUGGUCGCCUUCGCCACUGGUGUUCCUUCCUAUAUCUACGCAUUUCACCGCUACACAGGAAAUUCCACCACCCUCUACCGUACUCUAGCUCAGUAGUUUUGGAUGCAGUUCCCAGGUUGAGCCCGGGGAUUUCACAUCCAACUUGCUGAACCACCUACGCGCGCUUUACGCCCAGUAAUUCCGAUUAACGCUUGCACCCUUCGUAUUACCGCGGCUGCUGGCACGAAGUUAGCCGGUGCUUAUUCUGUUGGUAACGUCAAAACAGCAAGGUAUUAACUUACUGCCCUUCCUCCCAACUUAAAGUGCUUUACAAUCCGAAGACCUUCUUCACACACGCGGCAUGGCUGGAUCAGGCUUUCGCCCAUUGUCCAAUAUUCCCCACUGCUGCCUCCCGUAGGAGUCUGGACCGUGUCUCAGUUCCAGUGUGACUGAUCAUCCUCUCAGACCAGUUACGGAUCGUCGCCUUGGUAGGCCUUUACCCCACCAACUAGCUAAUCCGACCUAGGCUCAUCUGAUAGCGUGAGGUCCGAAGAUCCCCCACUUUCUCCCUCAGGACGUAUGCGGUAUUAGCGCCCGUUUCCGGACGUUAUCCCCCACUACCAGGCAGAUUCCUAGGCAUUACUCACCCGUCCGCCGCUGAAUCCAGGAGCAAGCUCCCUUCAUCCGCUCGACUUGCAUGUGUUAGGCCUGCCGCCAGCGUUCAAUCUGAGCCAGGAUCAAACCCUC
rnacentral:rRNA from 1 species